GAGCGAACUUUUAAAAGCUUGCUUUUAAAAGUUAGCGGCGGACGGGUGAGUAACACGUGGGCAACCUACCUGUAAGACUGGGAUAACUUCGGGAAACCGGAGCUAAUACCGGAUAAUUCUUUUCUACACAUGUAGAAAAGCUGAAAGACGGUUUCGGCUGUCACUUACAGAUGGGCCCGCGGCGCAUUAGCUAGUUGGUGAGGUAAUGGCUCACCAAGGCAACGAUGCGUAGCCGACCUGAGAGGGUGAUCGGCCACACUGGGACUGAGACACGGCCCAGACUCCUACGGGAGGCAGCAGUAGGGAAUCUUCCGCAAUGGACGAAAGUCUGACGGAGCAACGCCGCGUGAGUGAUGAAGGUUUUCGGAUCGUAAAACUCUGUUGUUAGGGAAGAACAAGUACGAUAGUAACUGAUCGUACCUUGACGGUACCUAACCAGAAAGCCACGGCUAACUACGUGCCAGCAGAAGCGGUAAU
rnacentral:rRNA from 1 species